GAUGAACGCUGGCGGCGUGCCUAACACAUGCAAGUCGAGCGAACAGACCAUGAGCUUUCUCCUCUGACGUUAGCGGCGGACGGGUGAGUAACACGUGGAUAACCUACCUAUAAUUCUGGGAUAACUUCGGGAAACGGGAGCUAAUACGGGAUCAUAGACUGUACCGCAUGGUUCAGUAGUGAAAGACUCAUUUUCUGUCUCUUAUAGAUGGAGACGUGCCGGAUUAGCUAGUUGGUAGGGUGACGGCUUACCACGGCGACGAUGCGUAGCCGACCUGAGAGGGGGGUCGGCCACACUGGAACUGAGACACGGUCCAGAAGCCUACGGGAGGCAGCAGUAGGGAAUCGUCCGCAAUGGGCGAAAGCCGGACGGAGCAACGCCGCGUGGGUGAUGAAGGUCUUCGGAUCGUAAAGCUCUGUUAUUGGGGAAGAACAAAUGUGUGCGUAUCUAGGCACGUUUUGACGUUACCUAAUCAGGAAGCCACGGCUAACUACGUG
rnacentral:rRNA from 1 species